GACGAACGCUGGCGGCGUGCUUAACACAUGCAAGUCGAACGGAAAGGCCCUGCUUUUGUGGGGUGCUCGAGUGGCGAACGGGUGAGUAACACGUGAGUAACCUGCCCUUGACUUUGGGAUAACUUCAGGAAACUGGGGCUAAUACCGGAUAGGAGCUCCUGCUGCAUGGUGGGGGUUGGAAAGUUUCGGCGGUUGGGGAUGGACUCGCGGCUUAUCAGCUUGUUGGUGGGGUAGUGGCUUACCAAGGCUUUGACGGGUAGCCGGCCUGAGAGGGUGACCGGCCACAUUGGGACUGAGAUACGGCCCAGACUCCUACGGGAGGCAGCAGUGGGGAAUAUUGCACAAUGGGCGGAAGCCUGAUGCAGCAACGCCGCGUGCGGGAUGACGGCCUUCGGGUUGUAAACCGCUUUCGCCUGUGACGAAGCGUGAGUGACGGUAAUGGGUAAAGAAGCACCGGCUAACUACGUGCCAGCAGCCGCGGUGAUACGUAGGGUGCGAGCGUUGUCCGGAUUUAUUGGGCGUAAAGGGCUCGUAGGUGGUUGAUCGCGUCGGAAGUGUAAUCUUGGGGCUUAACCCUGAGCGUGCUUUCGAUACGGGUUGACUUGAGGAAGGUAGGGGAGAAUGGAAUUCCUGGUGGAGCGGUGGAAUGCGCAGAUAUCAGGAGGAACACCAGUGGCGAAGGCGGUUCUCUGGGCCUUUCCUGACGCUGAGGAGCGAAAGCGUGGGGAGCGAACAGGCUUAGAUACCCUGGUAGUCCACGCUGUAAACGGUGGGUACUAGGUGUGGGGUCCAUUCCACGGGUUCCGUGCCGUAGCUAACGCUUUAAGUACCCCGCCUGGGGAGUACGGCCGCAAGGCUAAAACUCAAAGGAAUUGACGGGGCCCCGCACAAGCGGCGGAGCAUGCGGAUUAAUUCGAUGCAACGCGUAGAACCUUACCUGGGUUUGACAUGGAUCGGGAGUGCUCAGAGAUGGGUGUGCCUCUUUUGGGGUCGGUUCACAGGUGGUGCAUGCCUGUCGUCAGCUCGUGUCGUGAGAUGUUGGGUUAAGUCCCGCAACGAGCGCAACCCUUGUUCACUGUUGCCAGCACGUUAUGGUGGGGACUCAGUGGAGACCGCCGGGGUCAACUCGGAGGAAGGUGGGGAUGACGUCGAGUCCUCAUGCCCCUUAUGUCCAGGGCUUCACGCAUGCUACAAUGGCUGGUACAGAGAGUGGCGAGCCUGUGAGGGUGAGCGAAUCUCGGAAAGCCGGUCUCAGUUCGGAUUGGGGUCUGCAACUCGACCUCAUGAAGUCGGAGUCGCUAGUAAUCGCAGAUCAGCAACGCUGCGGUGAAUACGUUCCCGGG
rnacentral:rRNA from 1 species